CUGAGACAGAGCCCUUUUUGUCUUCCUGAAUGCUUACAUUUAAUUUAAAUGAUCGGGUAUUUCCAGGCUCCUGGGGGAAAAUCAUUUUCCUCCUGGCCAGAACUUUGACCAUGCUUCACUUCGAAAGCCUGGCAAGACUCGGUUGGUACUAAAGGGAUAUUUCUAACCCUUUCCAAAUGCACACCUUGCUGUCCCAUGGAGAAAGCAUGAAACUUGCUCAUCCGUCCACUCUCGGAGACUCACAAGAAUUAAUCCUCUCCUUUCUGAAGUUUAGCGCACAAGGAGGAGGAUUGCAGUUGAAUAUUGAUGGACACUCUUUUCAGGUAAGAUCAGGGGCACAGGGAGUGGAUGGGUUCUUGG
rnacentral:lncRNA from 1 species